UCCAUUUUAUUUAAUUUUCUUUUGUAUUAACAUUUCUUUUGUUGUAAAUUAGGAUGAAGAUAAAAUCCUUAAUGAACUGGAAAUACUUGAGAAGGUCUCUGGCCAUGAGAAUAUCAUCUCCUUUUAUGGCGCAUUUUACCAAAAGCCUGCUAGAAGGAUUAAUCAAGAGCUAUGGAUUGCUACAGAACUUUGUGAUGGUGGAUCAGUACUUGACCUAAUAAAAAGCAAAAGGAAUCGUUCCUUAGAAGAAAGCUGGAUUGCUUAUAUCUGCAAGCAGGUGUUACAGGGCUUGUAUCAUCUCAGAAAACAGAGAAUUUUACAUUGCGACGUGAAGCCCGAUAAUCUGAUGCUAACUGAAGACGCAGUUGUAAAGAUAAUUGAUUUUGGUGGUGCUGUCACGGGAGGAAAAAGUGAUAGCCCUGCUGGAGAUAUGGCAUAUUUAUCACCAGAGGCCAUUGUCUGCAUGAGUAAGAGAGGCGAAUUUGACCAUAAGGCUGAUGUGUGGUCUUUGGGAAUGUCAGCCAUUCACAUGGCAGAAGGAUGCGUCCGUAAGUACAUUCUCAGGAAUUCUUAGCAUGACUUUGUAUAUACGUAAUAUAUGUGUGUUACUAGAAAGUAAAUGCUGUAACACAGAAUGAUACUGCCCCUUAUGUAAAGUUUACAAUCAAUUAAUGAUAAAAAACUAACCCCAACAUAAUGUAAUAAAAGGCACUAAGUAGGCCAAGUGCAGUAACUCUUGCUGCUUAUUGCUUGAAAUAGGUGAUUUGAUCUGUAUCAAACUUUGCACCUUUUAAAACCCUAU